rnacentral:rRNA from 1 species
AGGGUUUGAUUAUGGCUCAGGAUGAACGCUGGCGGCGUGCCUAACACAUGCAAGUCGAGCGAUCUUCUUCGGAAGAGAGCGGCGGACGGGUGAGUAACGCGUGGGUAACCUGCCUCAUACACAUGGAUAACAUACCGAAAGGUAUGCUAAUACAAGAUGAUAUAAGAGAUUCGCAUGGAUUUCUUAUCAAAGCUUUUGCGGUAUGAGAUGGACCCGCGUCUGAUUAGCUAGUUGGUAAGGUAAUGGCUUACCAAGGCGACGAUCAGUAGCCGACCUGAGAGGGUGAUCGGCCACAUUGGAACUGAGACACGGUCCAA